GUGUCAGCAGCCGCGGUAAAACGUAGGUUCCGAGCGUUAUCCGGAUUUACUGGGCGUAAAGCGUGUUCAGGCGGCGCAGUCAGUCGGGCAUGAAAUCUCUCGGCUCAACCGGGAGAGGCUGUCCGAAACAGCUGGGCUUGAGGGCAGUAGAGGGUGGUGGAAUUCCGGGUGUAGUGGUGAAAUGCGUAGAUAUCCGGAGGAACACCAGUGGCGAAAGCGGCCACCUGGACUGUACCUGACGCUCAAACACGAAAGCUAGGGGAGCGAACGGGAUUAGAAACCCCCGUAGUCC
rnacentral:rRNA from 1 species